rnacentral:rRNA from 1 species
GACGAACGCUGGCGGCGUGCCUAAUACAUGCAAGUCGAACGCUUUUUCUUUCACCGGAGCUUGCUCCACCGAAAGAAAAAGAGUGGCGAACGGGUGAGUAACACGUGGGUAACCUGCCCAUCAGAAGGGGAUAACACUUGGAAACAGGUGCUAAUACCGUAUAACACUAUUUUCCGCAUGGAAGAAAGUUGAAAGGCGCUUUUGCGUCACUGAUGGAUGGACCCGCGGUGCAUUAGCUAGUUGGUGAGGUAACGGCUCACCAAGGCAACGAUGCGUGGCCGAGCUGGGAGGGUGAGCGGCCACACUGGGACUGGGACACGGCCCAGACUCCUACGGGAGGCAGCAGUAGGGAAUCUUCGGCAAUGGACGAAAGUCUGACCGAGCAACGCCGCGUGAGUGAAGAAGGUUUUCGGAUCGUAAAACUCUGUUGUUAGAGAAGAACAAGGAUGAGAGUAGAACGUUCAUCCCUUGACGGUAUCUAACCAGAAAGCCACGGCUAACUACGUGCCAGCAGCCGCAGUAA